rnacentral:lncRNA from 1 species
UUCUCAUUCUUAAAUGCGAUAUUCUCAACAAGUGGUAUCAGAGCCGAGCUGAUAUCCGUUUAGAAUAGAGGGUUCAAUUAUGAUGAAACUCACCUGCUCCAACUGGGUUACGUGGAAAUCAAGAAUGGUGGACAUGCUUUAUUGUAAAGAUCUCCAUGAGCCAAUUGAAGGUGUUAAGAGCAAGCCAGAAACUAUGUCUGAUGCCAAUUGGACCAAGAUGAAUUGUAAACCUAUUGGUACGAUUAGACAAUGGGUGGAUGAGAGCAUCUAUCACCAUGUGUCUAAAGAAACUGAUGCGCAAGCUCUUUGGAAGAAGUUAGAAUCCCUCUUUGAGAAGAAGACCGCUGCCAAGAAAGCAUUCCUUAUCAAAGAGAUUGUCAACAUGAAGUAUGCGGAAGAUGUUAGUGUAACCGAGCCCUUGAACAACUUUCAGAACGUGAUCAAUCAGGUAGCCACUAUGGGUUUGAAUAUUGAAGAAGAGCUGCUAGCAGUUUUAUUGCUAGGAUCCUUGCCAAAUAGUUGGGAAACCUUCGUCGUAACUGUAAGCAAUUCGGCUUCUAAUGGUAUACUGUCUAUGGAUGCCGUUAAGGAUAGCAUGUUUAAUGAAGAAACAAGGAGAAAAGCUUCAGGUGCAGGCGCUGGACAACUCUGUCACAGAGAAAAGAGGCAAAAAUUCUGGUGAGACGAGAUUCAAUGGCGACUGCCACUAUUGUGGGGAAAUGGGUCACGUGAAGAAGCAUUGUCGUAAAUGAAAAAGGAACAAAAGGAUGGGAACAAUAUUGCAAAUGUUGUGACUUACGAUGAAGAGCUUCUUUAAUGCAGAUGAUUGAUGGUUUUCUGGCAAAGAAGUCUAUAAUUGCCUUUGCCAAUGACGAUGGGUGUUGUGAUCAGGGGGAGCCUGGUCAAGAGAAGUCUAAUCAAGAGGGUCUUGGUUAAUGAGAAGUUUGAUCAAUGGGAAUUUGGUCAAGAGGAGCAAUCCUAUUUUGGUAUACCUUCCUCAUGGUCUGGAGGGGGAGAUUGUUGGUUUUUUUCCAGCCCAUGACUAGUUGUCCUAAGUCUAUUGGGAAUUAAUAGUCUUAGAGGAUUCAAUUGUUUUCCCAAUUGGAGUUAGUUUCUCAAUUGGAGUAGAUUUUAUAACUAGUUUUCGAUUAGGAUUAAUAAUCCUUGUUAGUUUCCAAUUAGGAUUAAUAAUCCUUAUUGAAGAAUACCUUUAUUAUGUCUAUAUAAAGGUGCUAUUGUACUAGUUUUGUAUAGGAAGGGAGCAAAACAAUAAAUUGUAUACCACUCAGGGAUUAGAGUGAGAGAAUAUUGUAAAGUGUGUGCGAGAGAACAAAAGAAGAGUAUUCUUGCUUUUGUUCUUUCAGGUUUUUCGUCAAGUCCUAGUUCUAGAGAUUUGGCAAGAUUAUUGGUUGUACUCAUUAUUGAUAUAGUAAAAGAUUGUUGUUGCUGUCUCGUGGACAUAGGCACACAUUGCCGAACCACGUAAAUUCUUGGUGUUAUUUAUCUUGGUUAUUUGUUUUUCGAUUUCCGGAGUUUGUUCUAUUUUUCUCAUUCUUAAACGCGAUAUUCUCAACAAGUGGUAUCAGAGCCUGGUUCAACUAAUAUAUGUUUAGAAUGGAGGGUUCAAUUAUGAUAAAACUCACCCGCUCCAACUGGGUUACGUGGAAAUCAAUAAUGGUGGACAUGCUUUAUUGUAAAGAUCUCCAUGAGCCAAUUGAAGGUGUUAAGAGCAAGCCAGAAAAUACGUCUGAUGCCAAUUGGACCA